rnacentral:rRNA from 1 species
UGCAAGUCGAACGGUAACAUUUCUAGCUUGCUAGAAGAUGACGGGUGGCGGACGGGUGAGUAAUGCUUGGGAACUUGCCUUUACGAGGGGGAUAACAGUUGGAAACGACUGCUAAUACCGCAUAAUGUCUUCGGACCAAACGGGGCUUCGGCUCCGGCGCAAAGAGAGGCCCAAGUGAGAUUAGCUAGUUGGUAAGGUAACGGCUUACCAAGGCGACGAUCUCUAGCUGUUCUGAGAGGAAGAUCAGCCACACUGGGACUGAGACACGGCCCAGACUCCUACGGGAGGCAGCAGUGGGUAAUAUUGCACAAUGGGGGAAACCCUGAUGCAGCCAUGCCGCGUGUGUGAAGAAGGCCUUCGGGUUGUAAAGCACUUUCAGUUGUGAGGAAAAGUUAGUAGUUAAUACCUGCUAGCCGUGACGUUAACAACAGAAGAAGCACCGGCUAACUCCGUGCCAGCAGCCGCGGUUAUACGGAGGGUGCGAGCGUUAAUCGGAAUUACUGGGCGUAAAGCGCACGCAGGCGGUUUGUUAAGCUAGAUGUGAAAGCCCCGGGCUCAACCUGGGAUGGUCAUUUAGAACUGGCAGACU